CCCGCCUAAGCCUCUCAGUGUGAAGCUCAAAUAGGCGGGG
rnacentral:sRNA from 1 species